rnacentral:lncRNA from 1 species
AGGGAUCCGGAGGAAAUUUGUCUGUUGGAGGGGUUUGGUUGGCACUGUUGAAGUCCGAUUGGCACUGUUGAAGGUUGAUGGUUGGAGAGGUACGGAAGACACUGGAGACAGUCGGUCGCUGUAGAAAUCUGACUGCUGGAGCCCGUCCGUUAUAGAAGUUUGUCUGGAAUCCAUCCACUGUAGAAGUUCGGACGAAGUUCGGUUCUUGCAGAAAUCC